UAAGACAGAGGGUGCAAACGUUGUUCGGAAUUACUGGGCGUAAAGCGCGUGUAGGCGGCCUUGCAAGUCGGAUGUGAAAGCCCUGGGCUCAACCCAGGAAGUGCACUCGAAACUGCAAGGCUUGAGUUCCGGAGAGGAAAGCGGAAUUCUCGGUGUAGAGGUGAAAUUCGUAGAUAUCGAGAGGAACACCGGUGGCGAAGGCGGCUUUCUGGACGGCGACUGACGCUGAGACGCGAAAGCGUGGGGAGCAAACAGGAUUAGAUACCCUGGUAGUCCACGCCGUAAACGAUGGGUGCUAGGUGUCGCGGGCAUUGACCCCUGCGGUGCCGAAGCCAACGCAUUAAGCACCCCGCCUGGGGAGUACGGCCGCAAGGCUA
rnacentral:rRNA from 1 species